rnacentral:rRNA from 1 species
GAUGAACGCUGGCGGCGUGCCUAAUACAUGCAAGUCGAGCGAAUGGAUUAAGAGAUUGCUCUUAUGAAGUUAGCGGCGGACGGGUGAGUAACACGUGGGUAACCUGCCCAUAAGACUGGGAUAACUCCGGGAAACCGGGGCUAAUACCGGAUAACAUUUUGAACCGCAUGGUUCGAAAUUGAAAGGCGGCUUCGGCUGUCACUUAUGGAUGGACCCGCGUCGCAUUAGCUAGUUGGUGAGGUAACGGCUCACCAAGGCAACGAUGCGUUGCCGACCUGAGAGGGUGAUCGGCCACACUGGGACUGAGACACGGCCCAGACUCCUACGGGAGGCAGCAGUAGGGAAUCUUCCGCAAUGGACGAAAGUCUGACGGAGCAACGCCGCGUGAGUGAUGAAGGCUUUCGGGUCGUAAAACUCUGUUGUUAGGGAAGAACAAGUGCUAGUUGAAUAAGCUGACACCUUGACGGUACCUAACCAGAAAGCCACGGCUAACUACGUGCCAGCCGCCGCAGUAA